rnacentral:rRNA from 1 species
CCUACGGGAGGCAGCAGUAGGGAAUAUUGCUCAAUGGGGGAAACCCUGAAGCAGCAACGUCGCGUGGAGGAUGAAUGUUUUCGGAUUGUAAACUCCUUUUUUUAGAGAAGAUAAUGACGGUAUCUAACGAAUAAGCACUGGCUAACUCCGUGCCAGCAGCCGCGGUAAUACGGAGGGUGCGAGCGUUACUCGGAAUCACUGGUCGUAAAGCGCGCGUAGGCGGGUUGGCAAGUCAGAUGUGAAAUCCUAUGGCUUAAUCAUAAAACUGCAUUUGAAACUGUUAGUCUAGAGUAUGGGAGAGGUAGGAGGAAUUCGUGGUGUAGGGGUAAAAUCCUUAGAGAUCAAGAAGAAUACUCAUUGCGAAGGCAACCUACUAGAACAUAACUGACACUGAUGCGCGAAAGCGUGGGUAGCAAACAGGAGUAGAUACCCCGGUAGUC